rnacentral:lncRNA from 1 species
GGGGGGUCUCUAGACAUAAUUUGAGGGGGGUGAAUUUUUCAUGGAACAUUCCAGAACAUAAGUGUUAAACUAGUUCUACCGACAUUAAAUGUUAUAUAAUUGUAUAUUAUCAUGGGAGAACAAUAUGCAGCAGUAGUUUGACUUUGGAAUUUUUAAAAUGGCGGCCGUUACCAUGGAAACAGCAAAAAUACAAAAAAUAUCAAAAUGCUCCAAAUUCAUUGGAAUUUAAAACAGAAGAUACAAUGUAUGCAAAAAUCUGCAUUUACUGAUGGACAAUUUCGAAAUGGCUGCUGUUGAGUGUCAAUUUGCAGACCAGGGUGACAUCCGCUAUUGCUUGCAAUGGCAAUUCUAGUUAUUAUGUCACCCGAUCGACAAUGUCGGGUGACAUAUUGCUUUUCCUCUGUUUCUUUUUUUUAUUAUUAUUCUUCCACCUAAUUUUGUCCGGCAGUUUUCUUGGAGCCAAUGGAACCAAUCUUAAUGAUAGUUUACUAUAAUGAGGAACACAAAAUUCCGGGUUGCAGUAGGGUCUAAGACCAUAAAAAAUGGCUGCCGUUUCCAUGGAAACGGAACAAUUGUGAAAAAUUCCAGUUUUUGGUUUUGGUAAAUAAUUUGGAGAUGCUUAAACUCAGAAUCAUCAUAUUUUAAUACAAUGUAGGUGCCAGCCAUAUACUGGUUUUGGAUGAUUUUGGCAAUCAUUGGAACUACUAUGUUGCCAUGGAAACUACACCAAAAAUUUCAAAAAUAUCAAAAUGCUCCAAAUUUUUUGAAACUUCAUGGUAACGAUGAGCAACAUUGGUAGAUGUGGAAUUUGGCGUUGGAAUUUCCAAAAUGUCUGCUGUUACCAUGGAAACAAUGCAAAAAUGGUCAAAAUGCUCUAAAAACUUCAGGGUUUGGUGAAUAAUUUUGGUAUGCUUUAACAUAAAAUCAUCAAAUAUUUAUACAAUAUAGUUGUCCACUAUAUACAGGUUUUGAAUGAUUUUGACAAUCAUCGGAACUACUCUGUUACCAUAGAUACAGGAUCAAAUAUUUCAAAAAUUUCAAAAUGCUCCAAAAUUGAUAAAACUUAAUAUGAUUGUUGACUGGCAAGUCUGGAUGAGACUUUUGAUUUUGGAAUUUCCAAAAUGGCCACCGUUGCCAUGGAAACUGCAAAAAAGUCAAAAAUUCUCAAAAUGCUUUGAACUUAAUGAAACUUGAUAUUAUUGUUAACUGGCAAGUAUUGAUGAGACUUUUGACUUUGAAAUUUUCAAAAUGGCUGCCGUUGCCAUGGAAACAGCAGAAAUGUGAAAUUUUUUAAAAAAAUGCUCUGAAUGUACUGAAAAUUUACAGAAAGAUGUAUUGCAGUGCAUAUAUGUGCAUUCACCGUUAAACGAUUUUGAAAUGGCUGCCGCUUAGUGGCAAUGGGGGGAAGGGUGACAUCCGCUAUUGCUUGCAAUGGCAAUUCUAGUUUUUAUUAUUCUUCCACACAUUUUGUCCAUCGUGUUUCUAAGAAUUGAGUGAUCCAAUGUUGUUGGAACUAUAACAUAAUGAGGACCCCCAUUUGAAGUUGUGCACCUUGCUAUGGAAUGGUAAAAGAUGGCCGCCGUUUCCAUGGAAACAGCACAAAUGCGAAAAAAAUCAAAGUGGUCCAAACUGGAAGAAACUCCACAGGAAUGUUAACUGGCAUGUCCUGAUUUCCAGUUUGACUUUGGAAUUUUCAAAAUGGCUGCCGUUACCAUGGAAACAGCUAAAAUAUCAAAAAUUCUAACUCUUUCGUUAUAAGAUCCAACUGGAUGAAACUUUAUGAAAAUGUUCUCCAGUAUGCCAAGAUGUCAAGACAAUAUUUGGAUAGUUCAAAAUGGCCGCCGUUGUCAUGGAAACUGGGGCCAAGUUUUGCAUUGACCCUAUGGAAAAAUGCAUAAAAUCAGCAUUUUCUCAGAGAGUAGUGCACCAAAGUAAAUGAAACUGUAUUGAUAUAUAACAUGACAUGUGGCAAUGAGAUGUACGCUUUUAGAAUUUUGGAAUUAUCUACUGUAACCAUGGUUGCAGCACAAAUGUUCAAAAUUUCCAAAAAAAAAAUUAAGUGCUGCAAACUGGAUGAAACUUUACAGGAAUAGUGACUGACAUGUGCGGAGUUGCAUUUUGAAGUUGGAAUUUCCAAAAUGGCCGCCGUAACCAUGGAAACAGCAAAAAUUGUCCAAAAUUUCAAAAUGCUCCAAACUUAAUGAAAUUUUGCAAAAAUGAUGACUUGCAAGUGUAGAUGCACUCUUUGACUUUGAAAUUUUCAAAAUGGCUGCCGCUCGCCUGGCAAUGGGGGGACGAGGGUGCCAUCCGUUAUUGCUAGCAAUUACAAAUCUAGUUUUUAUUAUUCUUCUUCAACACUUUUUGUCCACACAGUUUCUCGGAAUUGUAUGAACCAAUGUUGAUGGAACUAUACCAUAAUGUGGACCAGCAUGUGAAGUUGUGCACCUGACUUUGGAAUGGUCAAGAUGGCUGCCGUUUCCAUGGAAACUGCAAAAAUCCGAAAAUAUUCAAAGUGUUCCAAACUGGAAGAAACUCCACAGGAAUGGUAACUGGCAUGAGAUGAUUUACAGUUUGACUUUGGAAUUUCCAAAAUGGCUGCCGUUACCAUGGAAACAGCUCAAAUAUCAAAAAUUCUAACUCUUUCAUUAUAACAUCAAGCUGGAUGAAACUUUAUGAAAAUGUGACCCAGUAUGCCAAGAUGUCAAAACAAUAUUUGGAUAGUUCAAAAUGGCCACCGUUGUCAUGGAAACUAGGGCCAAGUUUUGCAUUGACCCUAUGGAAAAAUGCAUAAAAUCAGCAUUUUCUCAGAGAGUAGUGCACCAAAGUAAAUGAAACUGUAUUGAUAUAUAACAUGACAUGUGGCAAUAAGAUGUCUGCUUUUAGAAUUUUGGAAUUAUCUACUGUAACCAUGGUUGCAGGACAAAUGUUCAAAAUUUCCAAAAAAAAUCUAAAUGCUGCAAACUGGAUGAAACUUUACAGGAUAUGUGAACUGACAUGUGAGAGAGUUCUAUUUUGAAGUUGGAAUUUCCAAAAUGGCCGCCGUAACCAUGGAAACAGCAAAAAUGUCUCAAAAAUUUCAAAAUGCUCCAAACUUAAUAAAACUUUACAAAAAUGACAAUUUGCAUGUGUAGAUCUAUUCUUUGACUUUGGAAUUUUCAAAAUGGCUGCCGCUCGCCUGGCAAUGGGAGCCGAGGGUGCCAUCCGUUAUUGCUAGCAAUUACAAAUCUGUGUUUCUUAUUAUCUUAUUCCGCACUUUUUGUCCAGCUUAGUUCUCGGAACUUGAAUGGACCAAUGUUGAUGGAACUAUAACAUAAUGUUAAUCACCAUGUGCAGUUUUGCAUCUGACUUUGGAAUUAAAAAAAUGGCUGCCAUUGCCAUGGAAACAGCAAAAAUGUGAAAAAUAGAAAUGUGUUCCAAUUUAUAUGAAACUUCUAUGAUAUUAAGAGACUCAUGCACACUUCAACAUGGUACAUUUUUUUUUCAACUGGGGGGUCUCUAGACAUAAUUUGAGGGGGGUGAAUUUUUCAUGGAACAUUCCAGAACAUAAGUGUUAAAUUUAUUCUUCAGACAUUAAAUGGUAUAUGAUGGUAUAUAAUUAUGGAGAGAACAAUUUGCAGCAGAAGUUAGACUUUGGAAUUUUCAAAAUGGCCGCCGUUACCAUGGAAACAGCAAAAAUAUGAAAAACUCCAAAAUGCUUCAAAUUUAAUGAAACUUAAAACAAAU